UACAGAGACUGCAAGCGUUAUUCGGAUUCACUGGGCGUAAAGGGUGCGCAGGCGGCCAAGUGUGUCAGAUGUGAAAUCCCGAGGCUCAACCUCGGAACUGCGUCUGAAACUACUUGGCUAGAGUACUGGAGAGGGUAACGGAAUUCACGGUGUAGCAGUGAAAUGCGUAGAUAUCGUGAGGAACACCAGAGGCGAAGGCGACUACCUGGACCAGCACUGACACUGAGGCACGAAAGCGUGGGGAGCAAACAGG
rnacentral:rRNA from 1 species